AGCUCUUAGCGGUGGAUCACACGGCUCAUGCGUUGAUGAAGAACACAGCUAGCUGCGAGAAUUGAUGUGAAUUGCAGGACACAUUGAUCAUCGACACUUGAAACACGCUUGCGGCUCCGGGUUCCUCCCAGGGCUAUGCCUGACUGAGCAUCA
rnacentral:rRNA from 1 species